rnacentral:rRNA from 1 species
AGAGUUUGAUCCUGGCUCAGAAUCAACGCUGGCGGCGUGCCUAACACAUGCAAGUCGAACGCGAAAGCUCCGCAAGGGGCAAGUAGAGUGGCGAACGGGUGAGUAACGCGUGGGUGACCUGCCUUCGAGCGGGGGAUAACGUUCCGAAAGGGACGCUAAUACCGCAUGACAUCCUGCCUUUGAAGAGGUGGACAUCAAAG